rnacentral:ncRNA from 1 species
CUUGAUUUAGUCAACCCAGGAAACUUCAUUUGGUCUUGCCAUGGUAGAGUGGCAGGCUGAUAGCUCUUUCUUGAUUCUGUGGUUGGAGAGUCAUUGCUGUACUUAGUUGGUGGAACAGCUUGCCUGGCUAAUUUCAAUAACGAAUGAGACUCUGGCAUGUUAAUUAGUUAUGCAACCCCCAAAUGAGUUUCUUAAGCUUCAACCAACUAUCUAAUCCCUCUUGGAGAAACUGAUUUUUUGCUUCAGCUUCAAAGAGGAACAAAUCUUCUUCUGUUUUUGG